GUAUUAUUUAACACUUUUCAUCUGAAGAUUAAAAAGUAUUUUGCAAACAGUAUCUCAAUAAUCCUAGCAACCUCCCUGUUAGGGUGUUUGCAGGAUUUUUUUCCUUUUUCCCGUAAUUGGAAGAACUGAAACAGAAGCAGAAGCAGGGCUUUUUACACAGAUAUCUACUGUCAGCAUCUGAGCCUGAACCAGGAUCCAAGUGUAUUCUCAUCAAGGUGAGCAAAGAGGUUACAGAACUCACCCAAAGCCAGAGUUAGUAAAUGGAAGAACUGGAAUUUGCACCCAGGCAAUCUUGCUCCAUGUGGUGAAUUGCUAUACUAGACGGUUCUUCAAAAUGAAAACUCCAGAGAUGUAAUGUCUCAUGUCACACAGUGAGUCUGUGAGGAGUCUAGGAAUAGACUCUGACUCAACUUGCUGGAUAAUACCUAUGACUUCUUCACUGCCAAACCCAGAGUAAUGGAAGCCCCAUGGCUGGAUACUUUGUUGUUUAUAUUCCACGUGUUUAUUAUACUCUAGGAGCAUGAGUGGAUUCAAUGCCUUUAAAAAGCACCCAGUGGAAUUAAAUACUUCCCACAAUAGUUUGGCAAAAAUGGAAGUAAUUACAAAGAAUGUCUGUACACAUUUUAA